AAGAUGGCUGCCGCCCGGGGGUUGUCCCUAACGGCCGCGACGCAGAAAGCGGUCACUCCUUGGCCGAGGGGCAGGCUCCUCGCGGCCUCCCUGGGACCCCAGGCGCGUCGGGAAGCGUCGUCCUCCAGCCCCGAGGCCGGCGAAGGGCAGAUCCGCCUCACAGACAGUUGCGUCCAGAGGCUUCUGGAAAUCACCGAAGGGUCAGAAUUCCUCAGGCUGCAAGUGGAGGGAGGUGGAUGCUCCGGAUUCCAAUACAAAUUUUCACUGGAUACAGUUAUCAACCCCGACGACAGGCAAGGAGGAAGGGGUGGGUCCCAAAGGAGGUACGGGAGGGACAAAAGUGUCUCCAGUUUGAGGUGCACUUUUAUUCCAAAUUUAAAGGGUUUACCUGGGAUGGUUAACACCGCCCGUCUCACAGUGAGGAUGCAGUAAAGGUUUGUUGUCCUGAAUCAAAAUAACAGUUACAGAAGCAAAAUUGACCUGCCCAGGUCCAUUGGUUAGUCGGUAGAAAGUCAGGCUGGACUAGAUUCCAGGCUUAAGUCCCUAAACGUUUCCCAGUAUUUAUUCCAUUGAAUCAUUUUGCCUCAAAGAAAAUCAGCACCUGUUAAAGGUAAUCGGGAAGCUCCCUCUGUACUUUAGAAAACAGAGGAUGUGCACCUCUGGGCUUAGGGGGUGUCUUUUUUGUGUUUGCGAUACUCAUUAAUGCCUUCCUCCUGCCUUUUCAGGGUAUUUGAACAGGGUGGGGCAAGAGUGGUGGUUGACUCUGAUAGCUUGGCCUUCGUGAAAGGGGCCCAGGUGGACUUCAGCCAAGAACUGAUCCGAAGCUCAUUUCAAGUGUUGAACAAUCCUCAAGCACAGCAAGGCUGCUCCUGUGGGUCAUCCUUCUCUAUCAAACUUUGAUGCGAUGACUGGUGACUCUGAG
rnacentral:sRNA from 1 species